AUAUAAAAAAAACACAUUCGUUACAUUUUACUUUUACAGGUUUAAAGGAAACAAGCUAUUAAGAACGUAUUCAAAUGAUAUAAUGAAUGAAAGUCUUAUAAAAAAAUGGAUAUAUUAUGUUACAAUUCCCAUAUUCCAUGGAGUGCAUUCAGAAGAAGAACUAAACGAAUAUACGACUGGGGAUAAUUUUUUCCUUACUUGUCUAGAACACCCAAAUGAUGUUUUAAUAAAAGUGGCUAAAUUGUAUUAUGAUGAGUGUUAUUUUAUUAACAUUAAGAAUCAGGAACUAUGCGAUAAGUUAAAUAUUAAAAACAACCAGUUGCAAGUUAAAGGGAAAUAUGAGCAUUCGUUUUAUAACCUUGAUAAACUAGAUUUUGAAAAAGUUAAAUCUUUUGUAAAUAAAAAUAGGUUUCCUAUUGUAAGUGAGGUCAACUAUUAUAAUUUUUUUAAUUUAAGAAGUAGUGGUAACAACUUGGUAUUAUUAUUACUUGAUACGAAAAAUGAAUUCAAUAAAUAUAUUUCAAAAUUUACUGAACAUGCUAAAAGAAAUAGGGAUUUAAGCGAUUAUAUUUUUGCAUACAUAGAUGGGAAAAUUUAUGAAGAAAAUUUAGAACUGUAUGGCACUGAUUCUAAAAAAUACCCCCAAAUAAUCGUUUUUAGCUCACAGCCGCAAGAAUAUUAUUUCGAAACAUAUUUUGAUUUAGAUCAUAUGAAUGUUAUACUAGACAACAUAAUGAACAAUAAAAUUAAUCCAAAGAAAGAAGACUUCACCAAAUCAAAAAUAUUUUUUAUACAUUUCAAAAAUACUAUUAAAAGAUUAGUAGAGAGGGCAUUUGAAUCAGAUUUGAAGUCAUUAAUAGGACUUAUAUGUUUUAUUAUAAUGGUGCUAUUAACAAGUAUUCUUGUGAUUCAUACUAUUUAUAGCCUAAUUAAGAAACCAAUAAAUAACAAAAUAAAAAAAGAGAAAGAAAAAAAAAAUUAAAAAUAUACCAAAAUUGAUAUAUUUAAAACUUUUUUAGUUUUUAAAAAAUGCAGAUUUAUUUCAAAAAUAUACAUAUAAAUAUAUUUUUAUAUUUCUUAUGCAAGUAGGGUUUCAUUUCAUAUAAAACUUUGUAAUUUUUUUUUUUUUUUUAUUUGAACGCUCUAUUGAUUUAAUUUCAUUAUAAACUAAAUAUUCUACGCUACAUAGUAAUGGUGUUAUAUUGUAAGCAUAAAUUAUUUAGUAUUAUAUUUAUUUUUUUUUUUUAUAACUUUAUGACACAUUUUAAUUUCCAUUUAAUAUUAUUUGAUA
rnacentral:lncRNA from 1 species